AGUGAACGCUGGCGGUAGGCCUAACACAUGCAAGUCGAACGGCAGCACAGUAAGAGCUUGCUCUUACGGGUGGCGAGUGGCGGACGGGUGAGGAAUACAUCGGAAUCUACUUUUUCGUGGGGGAUAACGUAGGGAAACUUACGCUAAUACCGCAUACGACCUACGGGUGAAAGCAGGGGAUCUUCGGACCUUGCGCGAUUGAAUGAGCCGAUGUCGGAUUAGCUAGUUGGCGGGGUAAAGGCCCACCAAGGCGACGAUCCGUAGCUGGUCUGAGAGGAUGAUCAGCCACACUGGAACUGAGACACGGUCCAGACUCCUACGGGAGGCAGCAGUGGGGAAUAUUGGACAAUGGGCGCAAGCCUGAUCCAGCCAUACCGCGUGGGUGAAGAAGGCCUUCGGGUUGUAAAGCCCUUUUGUUGGGAAAGAAAAGCAGCAGAUUAAUACCCCGCUGUUCUGACGGUACCCAAAGAACAAGCACCGGCUAACUUCGUG
rnacentral:rRNA from 1 species